rnacentral:lncRNA from 1 species
GGUGUGCACGCCCAAGCUCACCGGCAGAGGGCGCCAGGCCUCCGCUUGGUGCUCGAGCCUCGAGGCCCAGAAAAGAUGAAAACAUCGAGGCUUAGAGGGGUUUCUGAGUAGCUGAGAAGUCAGGACUUCACACUCCCGAUCUUUCCCCUGGCCUCCAGUUUGCCUGGCAAAGUCACAGGAAGUAUCUCCAUGGCACCGCAUCAGCCCUCACAGAGCAGGAAACCUUGAUUUCUACAGAGGCUGUUUCCUCCCAGCCUUGUGCAAGGCCCACUGCAGAGACAAAAUUAUGGUGGCCAAAGUGUGAAUGCCAAGGCCACACUGGCCUCCAUCCCUGGGAUUUGCUGGUAGAAGAAAGGGAAUCAGCGCUGACUGAGCUCCUACUAUGUGCCCUUCCUGGGCCUGGCACUGGAAUCACAGGAUGAAUGAAUAAGGCAUAUUUCCUGCCCUGAGGAGGCGUCUAUAGGGGAAGUCGGAAUUAAGGCACCUCCAGAAUUCUGAGGUCAAGGGAAUGUCAACAGAGCUGUGAACAAAAUGCCCAAAGCCAUGAAAAUCUACAGAGAGAGACUCGAAGGGGAGGAAUGGGGCCAGGCUGAGGUCGGGAUGGUGGAGGAGGUGGUGGAGGUGAUGAGGUACCAGAGCAACCUCGAAGAAAGCUGAGAGGCAGGAGACCGCCAAAGGCAAACUUGGAACACCUGGUGACUCCGACUAACUCUCCAUGUGGUGUCCUUGAGGACUUUUAUGAUACUGCUACCACUGCUAAUAGUAAUAAAAGCCACUAUUUAAUGUGUUUA